rnacentral:rRNA from 1 species
CUUUAUUGGAGAGUUUGAUCCUGGCUCAGGACGAACGCUGGCGGCGUGCCUAAUACAUGCAAGUCGAGCGAGUCCCUUCGGGGGCUAGCGGCGGACGGGUGAGUAACACGUAGGCAACCUGCCCGUAAGCUCGGGAUAACAUGGGGAAACUCAUGCUAAUACCGGAUAGGGUCUUCUCUCGCAUGAGAGGAGACGGAAAGGUGGCGCAAGCUACCACUUACGGAUGGGCCUGCGGCGCAUUAGCUAGUUGGUGGGGUAACGGCCUACCAAGGCGACGAUGCGUAGCCGACCUGAGAGGGUGACCGGCCACACUGGGACUGAGACACGGCCCAGACUCCUACGGGAGGCAGCAGUAGGGAAUUUUCCACAAUGGACGAAAGUCUGAUGGAGCAACGCCGCGUGAAC